CCUUCCUGCCCUCCAGCAGAUCCACUGUCCUACCCAGCUUGGUGUCAUCUGCAAACCAGCUGAGGGCAAUCAGCCCCUGGUCCAUACCAUUGAUGAAGGUAUUUAACAGGACCGGCCUGGAUAUUGAGCCUGGGGAACAUCACUGAUGACCAUAUGGAGCACAAAAACCUCUCAAGGCUUGGGCACGUGUUCAGCUUUGGCACCCUCCCAGGAAAGGACCCAUGAGUACCAGGUUUUGGUUACUUCUGGCAUGAUGGAGACUCAAACACAGCCACAGCAGGGAAGCCCCCUGGGCUGGGGCAGCUCUGGCCUCAGCCUCUCCUUGGUUCAUGUUACAUGUCUGUGAAAUGCAGGCUGCUGACUACAGUCAAAUUACCUACAAAACAAGAAGUCAGCUGAGAUAAAGAAUUGGAGAAAAUGGCUCUGGUUGUCUGAGGUGCUCUGCAAUAUUUGUCAUCUGCGGAUUAGCAGCAAUCAGCAAAACUCACAAUAAGCGUCCCUGGCAGGUCAGAUGCUGUACGUGGCCUUUGGCAUCCUGGUUCAUCUGAAGGAUACAAGGAAGCAUCAGUAGAUGGGUGAAUCUCAGAUGAUGCUGAAAUGUUCCCAAGGAGUGAUAAAGCUGAUCCUGAAUUUCUGAGUUCGGUGGAGUUUAUCUCCUGGAAGGAGGGCAGACAGGGAGAUGAGGCAGUAAAGCCAGACAAAAAAAUGUGCUGAGAUGAAGACACUGGAAAUCUACAGGUAGCAAACCAGGGCCUGCCUCCCUUUCAGCUGAAGCAUCUGGAUUUGAUAUACGGGUGUCACGGUUUGAGAUUGCCCCCCCUGGGAGCCGGGGGGCCUAGAGGUGAUUGAGUGGAAGGGCAGUUUCCCCUGGAUGGACAAUCACCGCUCGUUUUGUUCGCUCCUGUGAAAAAUCAUAUGUACACAACUGGUGGAAGUUGUUGGCAAUCGGUCUGUCUGUCUGCUGCUGUUGUGUCUGCUGCUGUGGGGGUGUGAGAAAGGCCCCAGGGGUGGCAGGACCCCCUUCUUUCCCCUCUUGGGGGAAGGGGGCCCUGCAGCCACACAGCUCUGUCUAAGCCAGGGUUGGAGGCAGCACUGGAGUGAGUGUGUGUUUGUGAAGAAAGGGAUUCUCAACACCUGAAGGUAAGAGGGAGAGUGAAGCCAGACCCUCUUCUCCCCCCCCUUUGCAGCCAGACUGCAGAGGGGGCUUCUCCUUUCCCUCUCACUGUAAAGUGGAGGGGAGGCUUGGCAUUGGAGCAGAGCCAAAGUGGACGGUCUGAAAGCAGCUCGGUGCCAGGGAGAUAACCCCAGGCAAAAUUAGAGAUGGACCAGAGAGAGGCCCGGAGGAUGUCCUUGCAAUGAUUUAAAACAGAAGACAGCUGAAAAAUCAGAGGAGAAAUGAAGAUUCCAGGACGUGUACUGUAAUAAGCUGAACUAAACUACAGCAGCACGGAACCGAGGUAUGAGAGAGAGAAUGACACAGCAGAGACGGCACAGAACCAAGGAGAAAGCACUCAGAGCUAUCUUCUUGGACUUCCUGAGGAAGAAAGGACUUCAGUAAACAGCUGGAGGUUGGUGGGGGGAGUGAACCCUUUUCCCUGAACACUCCCACAAGAGAAAGACUGGUUACCUAUCAGCCUAAAAGGCUUUUCCUGGACUGAAUUAAGGGAAAAAGCUUAAAGGGACCGAUAGAAGUGUGUAAUAUUAUACAUAUAGUUGUUUUUAGCUUGUACAGUAUUUAUUUGUAUAGUAAUUAAUGUAUAUAUACUUCCCCU